rnacentral:rRNA from 1 species
GAUGAACGCUGGCGGCGUGCUUAGCACAUGCAAGUCGAACGGAAAGGCUCCUGCUUGCAGGGGUACUCGAGUGGCGAACGGGUGAGUAACACGUGGGUGAUCUGCCCUGCACUUCGGGAUAAGCCUGGGAAACUGGGUCUAAUACCGGAUAGGACGAUGGUUUGGAUGCCAUUGUGGAAAGUUUUUCGGUGUGGGAUGAGCUCGCGGCCUAUCAGCUUGUUGGUGGGGUAAUGGCCUACCAAGGCGUCGACGGGUAGCCGGCCUGAGAGGGUGUACGGCCACAUUGGGACUGAGAUACGGCCCAGACUCCUACGGGAGGCAGCAGUGGGGAAUAUUGCACAAUGGGCGCAAGCCUGAUGCAGCGACGCCGCGUGGGGGAUGUCGGCCUUCGGGUUGUAAACUCCUUUCGCUAGGGACGAAGCGCAAGUGACGGUACCUGGAGAAGAAGCACCGGCUAACUACGUG